GUCUAUAUAGAUUAUACAUAAAUCAUGAUGCUGUUAACUUCAAGAAAGGAAUAUCCUUAUAGUCG
rnacentral:tRNA from 4 species